rnacentral:rRNA from 1 species
GCCGAGCGGUAUUUGUCUUUCGGGACAGAGAGAGCGGCGUACGGGUGCGGAACACGUGUGCAACCUGCCUUUUAUCUGGGGGAUAGCCUUUCGAAAGGAAGAUUAAUACCCCCAUAAUAUAAUUGAUGGCAUCAUUGAUUAUUGAAAACUCCGGGUGGAUAGAGAUGGGCACGCGCAAGAUUAGAUAGUUGGUGAGGUAACGGCUCACCCAAGUCGAUGAUCUUUAGGGGGCCUGAGAGGGUGAUCCCCCCCCMCACUGGUACUGAGACACGGACCAGACUCCUACGGGGAGGCAGCAGUGAGGAAUAUUGGACAAUGGGUUAGCGCCUGAUCCAGCCAUCCCGCGUGAAGGACGACGGCCCUAUGGGUUGUAAACUUCUUUUGUACAGGGAUAAACCUACUCUCGUGAGAGUAGCUGAAGGUACUGUACGAAUAAGCACCGGCUAACUCCGUGCCAGCAGCCGCGGUAAUACGGAGGGUGCAAGCGUUAUCCGGAUUUAUUGGGUUUAAAGGGUCCGUAGGCGGAUCUGUAAGUCAGUGGUGAAAUCUCACAGCUUAACUGUGAAACUGCCAUUGAUACUGCAGGUCUUGAGUAAGGUAGAAGUGGCUGGAAUAAGUAGUGUAGCGGUGAAAUGCAUAGAUAUUACUUAGAACACCUAAUUGCGAAGGCUAGGUCACUAUGUCUUAACUGACGCUGAUGGACGAAAGCGUGGGGAGCGAACUAGGAUUAGAUACCCUGGUAGUCCWCGCCGUAAACGAUGCUAACUCGUUUUUGGGUUUUUAAGAUUCAGAGACUAAGCGAAAGUGAUAAGUA